rnacentral:rRNA from 1 species
UGAGGAAUAUUGGGCAAUGCCCGCAAGGGUGACCCAGCAACGCCGCGUGGAGGAUGAAUGUCGUAAGAUUGUAAACUCCUGUUAGAGGGGAAGAAUAGUACCGGUUGGACCGGUAUAUGACUGUACCCUCAGAGAAAGCCCCGGCUAACUACGUGCCAGCAGCCGCGGUAAUACGUAGGGGGCAAGCGUUGUCCGGAUUUACUGGGUGUAAAGGGCGCGCAGGCGGGAUAAAAAGUCAGUGGUGAAAUCCUACAGCUUAACUGUAGAACUGAGUUGGAUACUUUUAUUCUUGAGUACGGGAGAGAGUGACGGAAGUUCGGGGGUAGUGGUGAAAUACGUAGAUAUCUGGAAGAACACCAGUUGCGAAGGCGGUCUCUUGGUCCGACACUGACGCUGAGGCGCGAAAGCGUGGGGAGCAAACA